rnacentral:rRNA from 1 species
UACGGAGGGGGCUAGCGUUGUUCGGAAUUACUGGGCGUAAAGCGCACGUAGGCGGCUUUGUAAGUUAGAGGUGAAAGCCCGGAGCUCAACUCCGGAAUUGCCUUUAAGACUGCAUCGCUUGAAUCAUGGAGAGGUGAGUGGAAUUCCGAGUGUAGAGGUGAAAUUCGUAGAUAUUCGGAAGAACACCAGUGGCGAAGGCGACUCACUGGACAUGUAUUGACGCUGAGGUGCGAAAGCAUGGGGAGCGAACAGG